rnacentral:ncRNA from 2 species
AUCUCUAAUUUACUAAUUGGUUCUGAUGUGGAUCAGCCAUCAGAUGUAAAGGGGAAAGUCCGGUGAAAAUCCGGCGCUGUCCCGCAGCUGUGAGGAGACAAUACUUGUUUCUAAGUCUUUGUCUCUUAGUCAGAAUGCCCGCCAAUUAUGACAUAAACAU